UACGUAGGGGGCGAGCGUUGUCCGGAUUUAUUGGGCGUAAAGAGCGUGUAGGCGGUUCGGUAAGUCUGUCGUGAAAUCCUGAGGCUCAACCUCGGGCGUGCGAUGGAUACUGCCGGACUAGAGUUCGGAAGAGGCGAGUGGAAUUCCCGGUGUAGCGGUGAAAUGCGCAGAUAUCAGGAGGAACACCUAUUGCGAAGGCAGCUCGCUGGGACGUAACUGACGCUGAGACGCGAAAGCGUGGGGAGCAAACAGG
rnacentral:rRNA from 1 species